AACCACAACAAGGAAAAUCCCACUGGGUCCAAGACUCUCAAGAGGGAUCUCAGAAAACUCUUUAAAUCCUUGGGGCUAAAGGUACUGUCAGGCUAUAGAUGUGCAAUCUAGCAUUGUCUAUUAAAGAUAAGGCAGGUGGCCUCAUUAGAAGCAAUCAAAAUUACCAAAGGGGAAAACCACUUCACAGGGAGGGAAGCCCUAACAGCUGGGGCUAUUUGAGACUAAUUGUCUAACUCACCCUUAGGAACAGGAAGCUGAGGCUGAGGGAGGAAGUUGUUUUAACUCACCUCAUAUGUGUUACCAGCCAAAGAACUUCCCACAGUAUAAAGCCAGCAUCUCUGAGAAGCAGCCAGCAGAGAGCUGACUCAUCCAUCCUUUCCCCUCCUCACAUAGCCUAGUGAACGAAGUCUACGAACUGCCCGACUGCAAAGAAGUAGUUAGGCUGCACCUGAGUGCUGAUGACCUGGGUCCCUCCAACCUGGAGGGCGGGAAGAAAUCAGCAGCUGCAGAAACAACUGGAGACUUCAAAGGACUGCAUUUCCCCUGAGGGUUAUCUGGAACAUGCCUCUCAAGACUAAAAUUCCUCCCUUGGAAUGUGGCAUGAUGGAAAGUCAAUGCAAAGAGGCUGACAUGCUCACCUCCUUCAUUGAGCUUUCCCAUAAUUUGCUGACAAGGAGGUUAAAAAUCCAGCCCUUCCCUCACUCAAAGCUUCAAGGCCAUUUUAUCUUUCAGCCAUAAGACAAAGACAAUCAUGUGAAGUAGGACAGACAAGCAUGUCUGUGUUGGCCAGAGUGAGAGUCUAUCUCUUCUGAUUGUCCAAUCUGCUCAUUGAUAAGCCAGUCCUAGGCUAUCAGUCUCUUUCUUCAAUUUAGCAAUGCAUUUUUGAUUGACUUUUGGAAAACACUUAACUAUCUAGAAUACACCCUCCUGAACUCCUCAGAUUU